rnacentral:rRNA from 1 species
AUAAUUCAAGACUGGAAUGAAAGGGAAAAUCAAAAAAGUACUAUUUUUAUUUUACUUCCCAAAUUUUACCUUUAAGUAAAAAGGCUUAAAUAUAAGUUAAAGACAAGAAGACCCUGUAAAUCUUGACACCCUACAGACAUAAAACCUAAUAAGGUGUUCAGCUGGGGCGGCAAAGAAAAUAAACAUUCUUAAACAAUAAUAACAAAUAUUAGCAUACCUAGAAAUUCUAAAAAUCAAUAAAGAUACUUCAGGGAUAACAGUGUAAUUUUUCUAGAAAGACCCUAUUGACAGAAAUGUUUACAACCUCGAUGUUGGAUUAA